AUUUCUGGAAAAAAAAGAAGAAAAAAAAAAUCUAGAGAUUCUAGGUGAUGGUGUGGGCAAACAAUUUCUUGGGGGAAACGUAGAAACCGCAGAUGGUCCAAAAGGAAUCCAACUAGACUCCUCGUAAAGAUCUUCUCACACGGAUCAUGAUCUGCUGCGACGAAAUCAUGCAACGCAACGUGACUGAAGCUGCUACGAGAUUUCCUGAGGGAUUCGAGCGUCCUUUCAGAGCCAGAUGCAUCCAAAGUAAGAAAGAGACCCUCUCUCCUCCCUACAAAGGUUUGGUGGUUGGUAUCCGAGACUCAAGUUUGAAUUCUACUUGAUUUACAUUUCCAGCUAAGUUUAUUUCUAAAUGAAAUAAACGAAGCAGGUAGCGUGCUACUUAUCUCUCAAAAAACAAAA
rnacentral:lncRNA from 1 species